rnacentral:rRNA from 1 species
UACGAAGGGGGGCUAGCGUUGUUCGGAUUUACUGGGCGUAAAGCGCACGUAGGCGGAUUGUUAAGUCGGGGGGUGAAAAUCCUGGAGCUCAACUCCAGAACUGCCUUCGAUACUGGCGAUCUUGAGUCCGGAAGAGGCGAGUGGAAACUCCUAGUGUAGAGGUGGAAUUCGUAGAUAUUAGGAAGAACACCAGUGGCGAAGGGCGGACUCACUGGACCGGUUUCUGACGCUGAGGCGCGAAAAGCGUGGGGGAGCAAACGGGG